AGUUCUUUUCCUUGCAAUGCACAAAUAUUGCUUUUAUUUUGUUCUAAUACUAUGCGCACAGUGUUUGAACCUAAAUAAUGGCGCAGUACUGGAUAGUGAAAGGGAAAAUCUUCACAAAAGAAGAAGCAAACGAUCACUAACAAUAGAAGAAGAAGAAGAUGAAGAUGGAAACAGAAAUUACAGAAUAAAUAUAGAAACUUUCUGCGCAGGAGUAGUUUGUAAAGAUGGGAUGACACAAGAUGGAAAGAUGAACGUUUUAAAGUUGCUGAAUGAAAAUGGGCACUGGGUUGUUUAUCAGCAUGUAGAUAAGUGCGAUACAAGUGAUACAAGUGACAAAAAUGCUGAAAGUGUCGAAAGAUAUGGAAGUGAUUAUUCUCUCCAACCUCCAGAUAUGACCGAAAGACCAAAGAAACUUUACCAAAAAAUAAAAAGAAGAAAUAAACACUUCAAAUCAAAAUACAAAUUCAAACAAUUAAGGCAAAGAAACCCAAGAUCAGUAGGAUAUACCAGAGCUCCACUUAACUCUAGAACAACUAAUUUAAAUUCUGACCUCUUUAAAAAAAAUUCGCAUAAGAAAGCCAACAAGAGAGAAUACGUUUUUCCUGUAAAAUCAAACAAACAUCAAGGCACCUCGAGAGGAACUAUCGGUUCAGAUUAUUCAAACUCAAACUCUGAGGAUUCAGACAAUCAAGAUGCUGUUUAUUUAUCCUGCUGCUAAAAUGCCGAUGAAUCUAGAAGAGAAAACGCAGAUAUUUGAUCUGUUUAUCUUUUUAAAUGUUAAAAUUGUUUUCGGAUUUUCCAAUGAGAAAUACAAAUUUUUAAUUAGUCUUCUUGUUUUAUUGGAGAAUGCAGUUUUAUUUAUUCAUUACAAUCACAACCUUGUUGAUUAGAGUCAGAUCUAAAUAUUACUUAAUUGAUCUCCACUCAUCGAUAUCAAGUAGUACUUACAGUACUGAAAAUAUUGGAGGUACCACAGGACUUCGAGGUUCCCGGGACUCAAACAAGCUUCGUACUCCCAGUACUUCCUAUUCUCCAGGUACUCCAGAUUCUCGAAUUACUCCAGGGUCUUCAUUAAUAUCAGGGUCUACAAGCACUACACGUUCUCCAGGUUCUCCCAACCCUGAAUUAACUCCGAGUACUCAUGAAAGUACAGUUAUGAAUCCUAGGACAGGAGAAGACUAUGCAAUAAUUCUGGAUAUCGGAGAUAUGUGCAGACACGUAAGAUGUGCUCCUGAUGAGUCUAAACGAAGGAGAAAAAGAGAUUCUGAAGAUUAUCCUGAUGAGAAUAUGGAAGAUUAUAACGAUGAGGACAAUGAUGAGGAUUCUGAAGAUUAUCCUGUUGAGGAAACUGAAGAUGAAACUGAAGAUGAUACUGAAGAUUAUGAUGAUAAUGAUUACCUGGAAAGCAAUGAAAAUAUCUCUGAAGAAGCACAAGCGAAGAAAAGUGCUGAAAAUUCGUCAUCUAGAUCCGGGGAUUUGAGUUACUUCAGCUGCUGCAAGAAACUGUGAUAAAGGCCUCUUAAACUGAAAUAUAUUUGUUGUGAAUAUGA